UGAUGAGUGUGUGGUGCUCACAGCCUCAGGCUGUCUGCCCUUACCCAGGCUGCAUGACUUUCCUUCCUCCAAAGCAGCAAGCCGUUCCUGCAAGCAAACGGCAAAUGUGGGACCUGGGUGUGCACCAGUGAAGAAGGUAUUGUUCGUGGUCACAGUAUCACCCGGAGACGCCUGGGAACCAAACAGCGAUGCUGGCAGGAAGUUCUGCGAACCUGUCACUGAGAGGGUCGUCUGCAACCGUAGGACAUGUGAGACCCGGUCAUCACAGAGGCGGGAUACGUGCUGACCACAUGUUCAGUUUUCCUGAAGGGGACCCCUUGAGACUUCCA
rnacentral:lncRNA from 1 species